rnacentral:rRNA from 1 species
UACGUAGGGUGCAAGCGUUGUCCGGAAUUAUUGGGCGUAAAGAGCUCGUAGGCGGUCUGUCGCGUCUGCUGUGAAAACUCAGGGCUUAACCCUGAGCUUGCAGUGGGUACGGGCAGACUAGAGUGCGGUAGGGGAGACUGGAAUUCCUGGUGUAGCGGUGAAAUGCGCAGAUAUCAGGAGGAACACCGGUGGCGAAGGCGGCAUCCUGGACCAACACUGACGGCUGAGGAGCGAAAGCCAGGGGAGCAAACGGG